rnacentral:lncRNA from 1 species
UGAAUCGGGUGUCUAGUACUUUGUGUUGUUUUGGUGUACUUGUUUUGGUUUUGUUGAUCGUGAAUUAAUUUUGGGGUGUUUAGUUUGUCUACUUGUCUUCGUGGUAAAGCUUAAUUGAUGUUGCUAUGCGGUUUGCAUUUGGAGUGAUUGAGUUGUUGUUGUUGUAACGUCUUGUACAUGAAUUAGGUAUUACUUAGACAACUUGUAAGUAAAUAUUACCUUACAAGUUGUUUGAGCAUGUUUCCAUAGUAAUACAAGUUGUCUAAGUAAUACCUAAUUCUUUUCACAUUUACGACCUAAUUAUUUUUUUAGGACGAUGCUAUUCGGAUUAAACCACUACUAUUAUU